UAGGGAAUAUUGGUCAAUGGGCGGAAGCCUGAACCAGCCAUGCCGCGUGCAGGACGACGGCCCUACGGGUUGUAAACUGCUUUUCCGGGGGAAGAAUAACCCCCCUGCGGGGGGGGAUGCCGGUACCCCGGGAAUAAGGAUCGGCUAACUCCGUGCCAGCAGCCGCGGUAAUACGGAGGAUCCUAGCGUUAUCCGGAUUUACUGGGUUUAAAGGGUGCGUAGGCGGGCGUUUAAGUCCGCGGUGAAAGUCUGCGACUCAACCGUAGGAUUGCCGUGGAUACGGGACGGCUUGGAUUCGGUCGUGGCUGGCGGAAUGCGUGGUGUAGCGGUGAAAUGCAUAGAUAUCAAGCAGAACGACGAUAGCGAAGGCAGCUCGCCGGGGCGAAAUCGACGCUGAGGCACGAAAGCGUGGGGAGCAAACA
rnacentral:rRNA from 1 species